rnacentral:lncRNA from 1 species
UCCAAGAACCGCUGCUUCCUGUCAAGCCUGCAACCUGCUGCUGAAGCCAGGGCUAAUGCCAUGUUGCUGUCAGCAGGGAAUUAAUUAUAACUUAUCCUGAACUAUGUGAAGCUAAAGAUGAAAGUGAAAUCGCUUCAGAAGAUAAUGCAACAGCAUCAUAAGGGAUGCUUUGUGGUCACUCCUUGUUUCACAUAGCCCAGAGGACAUUGCUAAAGACCGUGCAUCUGGAUAGACCUCAUCC